GAUGAACGCUAGCGGCAGGCUUAACACAUGCAAGUCGAGGGGUAGAGGAAGCUUGCUUCCUUGAGACCGGCGCACGGGUGCGUAACGCGUAUACAAUCUACCUUUUACAGAGGGAUAGCCCCAGAGAAAUUUGGAUUAAUACCUCAUAGUAUUUUCGGAUCGCAUGAUUUGAUUAUUAAAGUUCCAACGGUAAAAGAUGAGUAUGCGUCCCAUUAGCUAGUUGGUAAGGUAACGGCUUACCAAGGCUACGAUGGGUAGGGUCCUGAGAGGGAGAUCCCCCACACUGGUACUGAGACACGGACCAGACUCCUACGGGAGGCAGCAGUGAGGAAUAUUGGACAAUGGGCGCAAGCCUGAUCCAGCCAUGCCGCGUGCAGGAUGACGGUCCUAUGGAUUGUAAACUGCUUUUGUACAGGAAGAAACACUACUUCGUGAAGUAGCUUGACGGUACUGUAAGAAUAAGGAUCGGCUAACUCCGUGCCAGCAGCCGCGGU
rnacentral:rRNA from 1 species